UGCAAGUCGAACGAGAGGCCGUAGCAAUACGGUCGUACAGUGGCGAACGGGUGAGGAAGACGUGGGUAACCUACCCUCGAGUGGGGAAUAACCCGCCGAAAGGCGGGCUAAUACCGCGUACGCUUCUGUUCCUUCGGGGACGGAAGGAAAGCUGUGCCGUGGGCAUGGCGCUCAAGGAUGGGCUCACGCCCUAUCAGCUUGUUGGUAGGGUAACGGCCUACCAAGGCAACGACGGGUAGCUGGUCUGAGAGGACGAUCAGCCACACUGGCACUGCGACACGGGCCAGACUCCUACGGGAGGCAGCAGUGAGGAAUAUUGCGCAAUGGGCGAAAGCCUGACGCAGCGACGCCGCGUGGGGGAUGAAAGUCUUCGGAUUGUAAACCCCUUUCGGGAGGGAAGAUGGAACGGGCAACCGUUCGGACGGUACCUCCAGAAGAAGCCACGGCUAACUUCGUGCCAGCAGCCGCGGUAAUACGAAGGUGGCAAGCGUUGUUCGGAUUUACUGGGCGUAAAGGGAGCGUAGGCGGUUGGGUAAGCCCUUUGGGAAAGCUCCCGGCUAAACCGGGAAAGGUCGAAGGGGACUGCCUGGCUAGAGGGUGGGAGAGGAGCGCG
rnacentral:rRNA from 1 species